rnacentral:rRNA from 1 species
AUGAGCUUAUCUGCUACCAUUGGGGCCAUCAGUGGCUUCAAUGAGUGUGUCACUUUCUGGCAGUGGGCCAGAUCUGCCAUUUCAUCACUGCACUCUCAAUGGAGUGGCUCACAGGAGCAAGAUCUCCAGAGUCGUGUAUUGCAGUUGGAGAGUGGCCUACAAGUUCUGAGGGAUACUCUUCCUGCAAUGCACGACCUCAUUAAUAAAGCAGAAUGGAGCCACGAUGAUGCUGUGGCAAAAAUCCUUCCCAAUCUCAAGGAUGCAGUGUUUGAUGCUGAGGACCUUAUUGAUGAGUUCAGAUGGUAUGAGAAGAAGGUGCAAGCGGAGGGCAAUGCAAGCCAGUCUCCUUCCAUUGACUUCUUUGACACCGUAAUCCAAGAUGGCUUCAACAAACUGGAUGACGUCCAGUUGAGGUUGAGCAGUCUUUCAAGUCAGAUGGAGAGUAUGGGGCUUCGUGGAGUCGCACAACGCUUUGACAAAUUAGUCAGGCCAGAGACCACCUCUUUUCCAAGUGAAACAAAAAUAUUUGGUCGUGACAAGGAGCUGAAGCAAGUAUUAGAAUUUCUCAAUGUGCCUAUAAAUUCAAAACGUAAGAGAGCAACUAGUUCAGUCAAUGCAUCAACAAGCACAGCAGCAAGCAACCAUUUUAAUAGCGAAUCAAGUCUCCCUGUUCUUGUGAUGGAUGGAUUUGGUGGUGUUGGAAAGACUACUUUGGCCCAACAUAUCUGCAGCCAUAAAGGAGUGAGGUCACACUUUAAGAAGAUAAUUUGGAUUUGUGUCUCCGAUGACUUCGAUGUGAAGAGGCUGACUAAAGAGGUCAUACAAUCCUUUACUGGAAAGGAGGCAACGGCUGGUAAUUUGAAUACUCUUCAAGAGAUUCUCUCUAACCAUGUGAACAAUAAAAGGUUAUUAAUAGUCCUUGACGACGUGUGGGAUGAUGCCUUGAAGGAAAAUGGACAGUGUUGGAAAAAGUUUUGUGCACCAUUUAGAAGUGCCCAAGAGGGAAGUGCGAUGUUGGUCACCACUAGAUGUCCAAAUGUUAGGGACGGGGUGCGCACAAUGGAGCCUGUUAGAUUAGAUGGUCUGGAUGAGGACAUAUUUUGGAAUUUCUUCAAAUUGUGUGCGUUUGGAUCUGAGGAAUCUAACAAUGAUCCCGAUUUAGAGGGACUUGGUAGAAGUAUAGUUCCAAAAUUGAAGGGUUCUCCUUUGGCUGCCAAAACUCUCGGACGCAUGUUGAAAGCAAACCCUGAAGUAUCACAUUGGAAAUCUAUACUUGAGAGUGAACUGUGGCGGUUGCAUCAAGAGAAGACUGAGAUUUUACCUGCCCUUCGGUUGAGCUAUAUGUAUUUACCAUUCAAAUUGAAGCGAUGCUUCGCAUUCUGUGCUAUCUACCCCAAGGAUUACAAAUUUGACAAGGAGCAUUUAGCUGAAAUUUGGGCGGCAGAAGGCUUUGUGGAGCCUCAAGGUGGUGUUCCUAUUCACGAUGUUGGCUGUCAGUAUUUUGAAGACCUUGUAGCACGGUCCUUCUUUCAAAAAGUUGGCGGUCAAUACGUAAUCCAUGACUUGCUGCAUGACAUGGCACAAAAAGUUUCAGAGGACGACUGCUUCAUCUUAAGAAAUACGAGUGACUUUGCUAUAGUUCCCCAGAAUGUUCGUCAUCUGUACGUACUCCCUAGCAGUGAAUUUGACCAUUCCAACUUGCCGAGCCUAUGCAACUACACAAAGCUGCGUACCCUAAUCUGCAAAAAGAGUUUAGGAAGAAAAGCAGAUAUUGUAAUGGAAUCCUGGUGUGAUAAACUUCUCCGUAUGCGUGUGAUGUCUUGUGCCUCCGCAGAUAAGUUACCAGAUAAUAUUGGCAACUGGAAGCAUCUUCGGUACCUUGAAAUAUCCAGAGCUUGUUCUUUGAAGAAGAUUCCUUCAACUUUCUGUUGGCUAUAUCAUAUGCAGAUUUUAUAUGCCAAGAAAUGCAAGCUAGAAAUUCCCGGUGACUUUGUGAAGUUGACCAGUUUGCAGAAAUUCGAAGCAAUAGGAUUAACUCUUGAUUCGGCCAAUAAAGAGGGACAAGGAAUUAGGUUAAUAAAGAAUCUGAACCAAAUUCGUGGAUACUUGGUGAUAAAUAAUCUUGCCGCCCUAAGUAAGGAUCAGGCAGCUGAAGCUGAACUGAAAAAUAAGAAAUAUCUUGAUAGGUUGACAUUGAAUAUGCAUUCGCCCUGGGGUUUUGGUAUGCUGCCAACCAUCCUAUCAGCCUCUUGUCAGGCUAAGAACAAAGAAGUGCUUGAAGUUCUACAACCUCCUAUCAGCCUCAAGUCUCUGCUCCUCCAGAAUUAUGGCGACUCCUCACUCCCAAGCUGGUUUCAGCCACCAAACUUGCCAAGUUUAGAAUCACUCACUUUUCAAGGAUGUGAUGGACUCAACAGCAUAAACUUAAAGGAGAUACCCGCAUUCCUGUCUCUCGCAGAUGUAAAAAUUGAAGGGUGCAAAAAUAUUUCAAGCCUCGAAGAUUUUCCUCCAGGCAUCAAGAAAAUAGUGAUUAAAAAUUGCGAGAUGUUAGAAUCAGUACCAACUGAAAAGUGUGGGGAUUUUGAUUUCCUUGAAGAAAUGUCCUUAUUCCGUUGUCCGAAUAUCCGCCUUCAAGGAUUGGUUUCGCAGUCCCUUAAGGAGCUCGUUGUGUGGGAUUCUGGUCUCUUUUGCAAUAUCAACUGCUGCUCCCUCACCGAAUUUAGUGUAUCAAGCAAGUCUAUCACAUCCAUCCAAUUGCAAACGUGGAGUCUUCCAGCACUACGAGAGCUGCGUAUUCAGUCUGAAUCUCUUGCAUCUAUUGGCGGCAUUGGAGCAUUCUCGUCCCUUAAAGUCAUAAAAUUUAGUGAGUGUCGUAAAUUGCCAACCCUUGAUGGCCUGCUAACACAAGAGCAUCUACCCGCUAUUGAGAGAAUUGAAAUCAGAUGUUGUUCGGAGUUAAAGUCCCUGCCAGCUGAAUGGUUUCCCUAUCUGAAACAUCUGGUGGUUGAUGAGUGCACAAGUCUCAAGUGGCAAACAGGUUUUGUGUUGCCAUCAUGCCUACAAAGCCUACGCUUAAAGGAAUGUGGGGAUAUCUCUCCAUGUAUUCCCAGCUGCCUAGAGAACCUCACAUCCCUCGUCUCACUUGAAAUUGAAGGAUUCAAUGGAAUAAAAUCCAUUCCAGGCAACGUUUGGCACAAUUAUCUUGUAUCACUCGAGAAAUUGGUGAUUAAGAAAUGUCAACAUCUAGUUUCAAUUGGUGGAGCAGAGGUGGUUGCAAAUAUCAAGGAGGUGGAGGUCAGGGGGUGUCCAAAGUUAGAGGAAGCGGACCAGAUCAAUAGAUGUACUAGUGGUGCCGUGCUUUAUUUGGGGAGCCAAAAUUGCUUUUCUGACCAUGUUUUCUUCUUCAAGUACAAGGAGGACAAGAAGGACUAG